rnacentral:lncRNA from 1 species
GGCAGUACAAGGAGGUAAGAUACAGAAGCCCAUUUCCAACAUUUGCAACCCUAAUUAGAAUAAAAAACUGCUUAAUCUUAAACUCAUUAGUGAAAGAUUAAGAUAAGAAGGUGCCACAUGCAACACUACAUGUCAACACGCAAGAAGGAAAAAGAAACAGUCGAUGCCGGCCAAUUCCACGAGUUGACACAGCGCCGCCGCCGACUUCGAGCAUCCACCACCGCCAUCCUUCUACAGAUUUCGCCUUUGCCGAUCUGAUUGAAGACCACCGGUCCCGUCUGAGAAAGAAACCUCAAGAAGACUUCAAAAAUCUUCACAUCUUAACUCGAUCUCUUGAAUUGGAAGCUCCGCCUAUGAUCUAAAGAGGUCGCCGACUUCAACAGAGUCAGAAGCUACGACGAAGAUAUUACUCCGAUAGAAGAGAGGAGUCAAGCCAACGGUGAAACGGGGAGAUGAGUGGAUCGCAAGGGGAUGUUGAUUUAAUCCUUGUAGAAAA